UACGGAGGGGGCUAGCGUUGUUCGGAAUUACUGGGCGUAAAGCGCACGUAGGCGGCUUUGUAAGUUAGAGGUGAAAGCCCGGGGCUCAACUCCGGAAUUGCCUUUAAGACUGCAUCGCUAGAAUUGUGGAGAGGUAAGUGGAAUUCCGAGUGUAGAGGUGAAAUUCGUAGAUAUUCGGAGGAACACCAGUGGCGAAGGCGACUUACUGGACACAUAUUGACGCUGAGGUGCGAAAGCGUGGGGAGCAACAGGGU
rnacentral:rRNA from 1 species